UACGGAGGGUGCAAGCGUUAUCCGGAUUCACUGGGUUUAAAGGGUGUGUAGGUGGGCAAGUAAGUCAGUGGUGAAAUCUCCGGGCUUAACCCGGAAACUGCCAUUGAUACUAUUUGUCUUGAAUACUGUGGAGGUCAGCGGAAUAUGUCAUGUAGCGGUGAAAUGCUUAGAUAUGACAUAGAACACCAAUUGCGAAGGCAGCUGGCUACACAAAUAUUGACACUGAGGCACGAAAGCGUGGGGAUCAAACAGG
rnacentral:rRNA from 1 species